rnacentral:rRNA from 1 species
UGGGGAAUCUUGCGCAAUGCGCGAAAGCGUGACGCAGCAACGCCGCGUGGGGGAAGAAGGCCUUCGGGUUGUAAACCCCUUUCAGGAGGGACGAAGGUGUGACGGUGAACAGCCGAUCGCACUGACGGUACCUCCAGAAGAAGCCCCGGCUAACUACGUGCCAGCAGCCGCGGUAAUACGUAGGGGGCAAGCGUUGUCCGGAAUCAUUGGGCGUAAAGCGCGCGUAGGCGGCCCGGUAAGUCCGCUCUGAAAGUCCAAGGCUCAACCUUGGAAUGCGGGUGGAUACUGCCGGGCUAGAGUCCGGAAGAGGCGAGUGGAAUUCCUGGUGUAGCGGUGGAAUGCGCAGAUAUCAGGAGGAACACCCAUAGCGAAGGCAGCUCGCUGGGACGGUACUGACGCUAAGGCGCGAAAGCGUGGGGAGCGAACAGG